rnacentral:rRNA from 1 species
UAAUACAGAGGGGGCUAGCGUUGUUCGGAAUGACUGGGCGUAAAGGGCGCGUAGGUGGUAUGACAAGUCAGGUGUGAAAGACCCAGGCUUAACCUGGGAACGGCAUUUGAGACUGUCAUGCUUGAGUCUGGGAGAGGAUAGCGGAAUUCCUAGUGUAGAGGUGAAAUUCGUAGAUAUUAGGAAGAACACCGGUGGCGAAGGCGGCUAUCUGGAACAGAACUGACACUGAGGCGCGAAAGCGUGGGGAGCAAACAGG